AGAAGAAACCAAUCUAAAUGAUGGUUGACAGUGCUCACGUGAGUAAUGGACCAGUAUACUCGCACUCUAAAACAAUUCUUCACUUUAGAAGAAUCAAAGAGGAAACUAAAGUGUGAGUUCAGAACUUAAGCAUGUUAGGACCGCAAAAUAUUUAAAUGUAUUGUUGAUAACACAUUACGAUGGACAGAAAUAUAUUUUGCAAGAUGAUUAGAAAACACACAAACAAAAAAAGGAGAAAUAAUCUCGUUCUCCAUGGUAUGACGUCACACAUGGGCGGGAAAAUUCACUUGACUCGAGCGGAUAACAUGGAAAACGAGCGACUGCACAGUAUUUCAUUUCGGUCACCGAUGAUUACAUUGCCUAAAGCUAAUGUUUCAAUUACCAAAAUUGCUCUGCUGCUUUGUAUCAAUAGAGGAACCAUAUACUUCUUGCUAUGAUGGAAGAAAGAGAAACUGGAAACCGAGCAUAUGAGGAUAACACCCCAUACCACUAGGCCUAUUGUUCAGGAUGAUAGUGAAAUAAGGUGCUAUAAUAUAGAGCUGAUGCACAAAUCACUUAGAAAAGAAAAUAUUGAUGGAAACAAGCACUGUGCGGGUUUUGGUUUGAUCAAAACGAACAUUACAGUCAAUUUGAACAUGUUUGUUUAGUUUGCAAAAUCUGUUCCACCUCAACCAUCACCACGUUAAGGUCGUACACUCAGAGCUCCAGAGGAAAGUUCACUCACAGCAGGAGAAGGUAUUUUGGACGGCGUUCAUUGAAUUAUAUGGGAACAUCUACUGUAUGUCUGCGGAAAGUGAAACGCCCGAAAUACAGCCAUCGGAAUAAGAAGAGAGCAACAUACGAUGUUUCUAAGGAAACCCUCACUGAGGGAUCCCAUAGCUGUACUAGAUUCAGUGACGAAGAAAAUAACCUCACUCAGAAUAGUUUUUGGAAAGGAACAUUAAAAAUGGUGAAUAUGACAUUGAAAUCUGGGGAUGGUACAGAUGAUGUGUAUGUUCUCUCUUGACGGCACUACGAUCUGCAAUGUUCAUCAAGGAUCAGGAAAUGGCUCCACCCACAGUGAGUCAGUGACUAAUAUUAAUGAGCAUCUUCAACGAAUCCAGCGUUUUGCAUCCGUCUCUAACCGGCAAGAGCUAAGGUUAUCAACCCCACUGUUUAAUAUUAUAGAUUGUUACUAGUGCCUUUAAAGUGGCUCCACCUCCUCUGUCUUUUGUACACCCCUGUCGCACACUACAUUGGCUACUGGUAUAUACUAAUUCCUAAUAUUUGCAAGAUAGCUCCUAUAACACAUUUCGGUUAUCAUUAUAACUACUAUCUAUACCUGCAAUCACUGGAACUCUGUAGCAUUCGUCGAAGAAGAAUUCAUCCCCAUCGUUAUCCUCUAGCAGUGGAACCAUAAGCACCUCCUGUGUAGGCGGAACUUUAAUAACCACCUCGUGGUCCCAUGUAUGGUGUCGUGCAUAAUUUGUAAGAAGUCAUUUGUUCCUAUUGUUCAAGUAAAAGAAAAAGGACUGCUUAGUCUUACUGAAUAUAGUCAACGGAGAAAUGAAGAGACAAUCUACCAGC